GCCGCCUCAUCUUCGAGCUGGGCGGCAUUCCCGAGCGUGAGCUGGACAAGCUGAAGGAGGAGGCCGCCCGCCUGGGCAAGUCCUCCUUCGCCUUCGCCUUCUACAUGGACACCCAGAAGGAGGAGCGCGCCCGUGGUGUGACCAUCGCCUGCACCACCAAGGAGUUCUUCACCGAGAAGUACCACUACACCAUCAUCGAUGCACCAGGUCCGUCAUGGUUUGGGGAGGGGGGUGGGGGGUGCCAGCUCCUGCAUUCGUGGGUCUAUCAGCCCCUUGCCGCCUACAGGCAUGCUCUCUCAACAGUGUCGAAACCCAUCGUUUCUGCAUCAGGGGAGUAUUUCCGCGCGCCUCGCUGUCUCCUUGGUGCAGCUUGCAUGCACUGAGCCCUUUCUCUGCCCACCCCCCCUUCGAUUUCGCGUGCAGGCCACAGGGAUUUCAUCAAGAACAUGAUUUCCGGCGCGGCCCAGGCCGAUGUGUGCUUGCUCAUGGUGCCCGCCGACGGUAACUUCACCACCUCCAUCCAGAAGGGUGACCACAAGGCCGGCGAGGUGCAGGGCCAGACCCGCCAACACGCCCGCCUCAUCAACCUGCUGGGUGUGAAGCAGCUGGUCGUUGGCGUGAACAAGAUGGACUGCGAUACUGCUGGCUACAAGGUGGGCAAGGGGCACACUUUUUCUACAUCAUGCACGCAUGUGAUGAGGCCUCAGGGUGGGGCCUCUCUUCACUAGUAUAGAGAAUUGGUAUCCUCUGAUGCACAUGCACUGCAGUGCUGCCUGAAGGUAGAAGUUUGCCAGGGUAAUGUGGCACACCUGUCCUGCACCAUGCAUGUGUUGAGGCCUCCAGGGUGGGGCAAUGACUGCAUGUGUACAGAGACUCAUGUUUAGAGACCCCCUGGUCCCCUCUUAUGCAAAUGCGCCUGAAAUGUACUCAAAUGCAGGAGUUGCCCCUGCAAUGCAGCAUUAUAGUAUGUCCGGAAGCCCAGCUGCCCUUGUCUCUUAACUAAGUGCCACAAGGAUUCAAUGUUGGUGUCUUGCAUGCACAUUUGAGCCCUGCUUCCUGAAUCAAGGUUUCACUGGUGAGAGAAGGUCUGAAUAUGAAGCAGACAGAUGUUGUUCACCACCUGGCUUGCUUUCUCGAAGGGGCCUUUUGCAGCCCAGGAUUCUACCAGGAUGAACCCACAAGGUUCCUGCUUCAAAAAGCUUGUUUCCCACGAUCAGUAGAGACUAGUAGUGAGAACAGACUGCACGCGCUUAUCAGAAGUUAGAUAAUCUGAGGUUGCACUUUCGGAAUGGACACUUGAUAGCCCUGGAUUCUACCAAGAUUUUAAGAUGCCCACAAGUUCACUGUAAAGCACGUGCUCGUAUGUGGGGUCCUUAGUUUUGGUGAUGUCUUUGUGCACUUUCAGCCCACUUGGAAUGCAGGCUUCAAUGAUGAGACCUUGUGUCUGAAAAGAUGCAUGUUGUUCAGGUGGUUUCUACCUAGCUCGCUUCUGGAGCGGGUUCUCAGUAACCUUAGAUUUACUAGAACAAUCCACAGUUUGUGUAAGCGAAGUACUGCCAGUGCAUAGUCUACUAAGGAGAAUAACCCUAUAUUCUGAGGAAGCAAUUUUCUGAGUAUGAGGUGUCAGUCCUAGGAAAGACGUGGACAGUACAGGUAAAUGAGUGUACAGCGUUCAGGUUGCAAUUUUUCAGGAUAUGUUCAAGUGCUUUCUCUGGUCAUGCGUAUGAGGAACAUUUUCAUUGCUUGGGUUAUCUCAUGCCCCUCCCAAAGCCAUAUACCCUGAAAGCCUAAAUUUUUAUGUGAUGCUUUCACAGGAGGAGCGUUACAAGGAGAUUGCAGAUGAGAUGCACCACACCCUGUCCAAGGUGGGCUGGAAGCCUGCCUUCCUUCAGGAGAGCGUGCCCAUCAUCCCCAUCUCUGGCUGGAUGGGUGACAACCUGAUCAAGAAGUCCGAGAAGAUGACCUGGUGGAAGGGCAAGGACUGCAAGAACCUUGGUGAGUUCAGCUUCCCUUCCUCACUUUGAUGUUCGCAUGUGCAACAUAGUUGCAUACAUGCUUGCAGGAGACGGCACAGUCCAAGAAGCUCUUGCUGCACAGAUGUUAGACUUCACUGAUGGUCUCGUGAAUUGGCACUUGUUUUGCAGUUUUGAAAUCUGUCAUUUUAACAUUUACAGGAAUCUGAAAUUAUCAUAUUUGCUGCCUAAACUUGGCACAUAGGUUUGCAUGCCCAUCACAGUUGCAUGUCUGCACAAAAGAGGUGGCACAUUUGUACAAGCGUUUGGAGCACAGGUAAUGGUCUUCAAGGAAAGGUGAUAUCACUCUUUUUGCAAUUUUAAGCCUGAGUAAACUUUUGACAGACGCAUAGGACAGUGACAUGUCACUUGCAGCGGAUAUUCUGCUUGCAUGACUUCCGCAUUUCCUGUUGGUGAUUCUGGGCUCGUUUCUGGCUGCUUGUAUUUUUGCUGUCCCUGCCUUAUGUCUCUCUUGAAGCAUCAACUUAUCUUUUUCUUGCAUGGCUUGAUUCUCAUUUGUAAAAUUAGAUGCCUGUGCAGGAAGUGCAGCUUGCUUGAGAUUGGCCUGAAACAUGCUUUCUUCGUUCUCAUGUGCCUCUGCAGCUGGUCAGGUCAUCCAUGUGGACACCCUGCUGCAUGCCUUGAACGACAUGGCUGUGGUGCCUGAGCGCAAGACCGACUGCGCCAUGCGCCUGCCCAUCUCUGGCGCCUACAAGAUCAAGGGUGUGGGUGAUGUGCUGGCUGGUCGCGUGGAGCAGGGCGAGGUCAAGCCUGGUGAUGAGGUGGUGUUCAUGCCCACCCACACUCCCGCCAACCCCUGUGUCGGCAAGGUGUUCACCGUGGAGAUGCACCACAAGCGUGUCGACAAGGCUGGCCCUGGUGACAAUGUGGGCAUGAACAUCAAGGGUCUGGACAAGGGCAACAUGCCCCGCACUGGUAAGUGGCUGGAAGCAGCCUGUGUGUUAUCUUCUCCGAGAGAAGAGCCCUCCUGACGGUUGAAAAGUUUCAGAAGUUCAGAUUGAGGUGACUGCACGCCUUCAUUGUGGUGGAUAGGACUCUGGUUUGUAGCAGGACUAAACUGAGCCUGGCUGUCAUGCAUUCAUUCCUGCUCAUUCCGCCUUGGAGUGUUCAGUGAGUUUGUUGCCUGCCUGUACUUGUGUGGUGAAUAAGACCAGACUGAGCUUAUUGCAAGGCUAAUAGAGCAUGGCUGCAUGUCACGUGUCGCGUACUUAUCGCUCUGGCUGAAUGUGGACAGGAAGAAUGAUGAGCAGCUGGUAGGCAUGCUCUCUGAACACAAAUCAUGACGCCUCUGUCCUCUACCGUAGCGACACUAAUGUAUUAUGACACCGAUUUAUUACGAGGUCCCAAAAUAAUUUCAUUAAUUACUUUGCGAGCAUUAAGGGUUUACGAGGUCCGCCCAAACAAGUCAAAGUUUGCGAACCCCUGCGCUUUUGCGUCUCCAACAUGGGCUCUUUGUCUCUACUCGCCUCUUCCACCUCUUCAUCUGAGGAUUCCGUGGUGACCUCGGACCCCUUCAUUGGUUCCUGGAACUUCCAGUGGAAGCCCUUCCUCGCCCUCUGCACCUCUUGCCCUUGCUCUGGCCCCUGCCCCUGCCCCUGCCUGUCCCCUCGCCCUGAGCAGUGGGGUCCAUAAAGUCCUGAAUGAUAUCUGCAAGCCCCUCCAAGCACGCUUCCCCUGCCUGCUUCCUCCACACCUGCAGCGGCCUUGGCCACAUCUUGCAUGCUUGGCAGCUCCCAUGUCAAACAGGGUUCUUUGUCCCUAGGGACAUGAGGCUGCAUUGUGCAGCUUUACUAAUUGAUUAAUACAAACCCGCAUCUUUUACGAGCCCUUGAAAAAAGUAAUUUUAAAAGUCCAUCCAUAUUACGAGAUGCCUCAAUAAUUAUUUAAUUAAUCGUAAAGCCCGCAGUGUCGCUACGGUAAUGCUAACGCACCUUCCUCUGAACUCUUCAUUAAAGCCUAUGUUCAUCUCCACCGAAUUCCAGGUGAUGUCAUGAUCCUGAAGUCUGACACCAGCUUGAGGCCUGUGGAGGACUUCACCGCUCAGAUCCAGACCCUGGAUAUUCCCGGUGAGAACAAGAUCGGCUACUCCCCCAUUGGCUUCGUGCGCUGCGGUCGCUCCGCCUGCCGCCUGCAGAAGAUUGACUGGAAGGUGGGCAAGGAGACUGGUGGCAAGAAGAUGGAGGAGCCCCACUCCCUGAAGGCCAACGAGAUGGCUCAGGUUGUGUUCAAGCCCUGCCAGCCCCUGAUUGUGGACUCCUUCAAGAACUGCGAGGGCCUCUCCCGCAUUGCCUUCCUGGAUGGCAACACCGCAGUGAUGCUUGGCAAGGUGGUGUCCACCAACAUGAAGGGUUAAGCUGCAGAUGAAGACAGCAGGAACGGUGCAGGCGGAUGCAGAGUUUGAGUGACUGAGUGUUCUGAUACGGUAUGGUUGGGGGCAUACGAGUGCAUGCCAACUUAUGAUACAGAGGAUAUGCGUAAUGUGUCCUUGCUGGUGGGACUGUGGUAUGUCGAAGAACUGGCGCUUGAGACAAUUGGAUUGGCCACCUGACAUGUGAGAGUAAAUUUUUUGGUAGAGCUUAGAUAUUGGGCAGUCUGUUCCACUCCUGAGGACCUGUUAUCCUACUUGAAGUCCCUGGCACGAGUACGCAUAACGGAAAGUAUCACCUGUAACCUGGAAAAGUGAUUAUUGAUGCAGGCUUGGGGCUUCCUGGUCUUUGGAGUUCCUCCUGCCUGCAGAAAGAUUUUGUAAGGUUCUGAAAGUGGGCAGGUUUCAAUUCCUUUUGGGAAAGUAUAACUGUGCCAGGUAACAGAUCAGAGGGUCCUAACUUGGCCACUUCAGGGGGGUUGCACAGGAAGCUUUCGAGCCCUCAUUCUUAAAUUUCUUGUGUGGUCCAUUUCUAAGCUUGAAAUGACACGACUAUGCAAAAGAAAGUUAUGGGAAUUGGCUUGCGCACACCUGUGUGUGCAAUGGUGCAAAAAGGGGUUGAGUGGUGAAAAAAUGAAAAUGUCCCCUUUAUCCAAUUUGUAAGAUCCCUGAUGUGUAAUAAUGGUACAGCUGACCUAACAUAAAAAUGGAGGCAUUUGGUGGUCUAGCUGGGUCAGGUUGGACAAGAAUGUUUGGGAGAUUAGGUAAAUGUAGGGUCCCACCCCUGUUUUCAUCGGGGACCACUUCCCAGGAGCCUUUCACAGUCCUUCAAGUAAAAGCUUUCUUAUACCGCAUUUAUGCCUGGUUUAUAUGGGAACAAAAAAUUUAGAACCAACAAAACCUGUGUCAUUUCCGCACUGUACGUCCAUGGUAUCCAGGUUCUGUGCAAAGUUUCAGGAAUUGUAAGUUGCACACUUGGAUUGGGACGCCCUGGUCACAGCAACUGGUCACAGCACAGGUUAGGCUGCUGAGGUUUUGGCCUUCAGCCAGGUGGUUUGAUUGAUGAAUCGGCUGGUCCCUGCCAGCCUCACAAAAAACGUCCGUUAUAUCAGAUAUGUAUAACUGGUUCAACUCUUGGCUAAAGGAAUGGGAAACGUCCUCAUUGCUAAGGGUACAAGGUUACAA
rnacentral:lncRNA from 1 species